GGUAUAUUUCUCAGAUGAGGUCUCUCUUCUGUUUUUGCUUUUCUGUCACAGGAUUUGAAUUUCUGAUCUCUCUGUGUAUGUUUGUCCAAGAAGCGAGGGGUCUUCCAUUUGGGGUUAUAUGUCCCCAUUUGUUCGAUCCCUGGCCUCACUCAGUGGGUGAAGUAUCUGGCAUUGCUGUGAGCUGUGGUGUAGGCCACAGACAUGGCUCGGAUUUGGGGUGCCUGUGGCUGUGGUGUAGGCCGGCACCUAUAGCGCUGAUUCGACCCCUAGCCCAGGAACCUCUACAUACCGCAGGUGCAGCCCUAAAAAGAGAAAAAGAAAAAAGAAUGUAUACAUAUGGGUAGGACUCAGUCACUUUGCUGUACAACAGAAAUUGACAUAACAUUGUAAAUCAAAACUAUACUUUAAAAAAAGAGGUCCUUUGUAGAUGCGAUUGGAGUUCCCUGGUGGCUCAGUAGGUUAAGGAUCUGGUUUAUCACUGCUAUGGCUUGGGUUGCUGCUGUGGCGCAGGUUCAGCCCAUGGCCCUGGAAGUUCCAUACGCUGCAGGUGUGGCCAAAAGAAAAACGUCCUUUGUAGUUGUGAUUAAGCAAAUCACCUUGAGAUGGAGGAGAUUAUCCUGAAUUUUUCAGGUGAGCAGAGUGUAAUGACAAAAGUCCUUGCAGAAGGCAGGAUAGUCAAAGAAGCAGAUGUGAUGACCAAAAUAGAGAUCAGAAAGAGAUGUGAGGAGUUCCCGUUGUGGCGCAGUGGUUAACGAAUCCGACUAGGAACCAUGAGGUUGCGGGUUCGGUCCCUGCCCUUGCUCAGUGGGUUAACGAUCUGGCGUUGCCGUGAACUGUGGUGUAGGUUGCAGACACGGCUCGGAUCCUGAGUUGCUGUGGCUCUGGCGUAGGCCGGUGGCUACAGCUCCGAUUCAACCCCUAGCCUGGGAACCUCCAUAUGCCGCGGGAGCGGCCCAAGAAAUAGCAACAACAACAACAACAAAACAACAACAACAACAACAAAAAAAAAAAAAGAGAUGUGAGAGCGAAACACUGCCAGUUUUGAAGAUGGAGGAAGGGGCCAGGAGCUAAGGAUUGCAGGCAGCUUUAGAAACUGGAAAAGACAGAGUUCCCAUCAUGGCUCAGGGGUUAACGAAUCUGACUAGGAACCAUUGAGGUUGUGGGUUCGAUCCCUGACCUCGCUCAGUGGGUGAAGGAUCCAGCGUUGCCGUGAGCUGUGGUGUAGGUCGCAGACACAGCUUGGAUCUGGCGUUGCUGUGGCUGUGGUGUAGGCUGGUGGCUGCAUCUCCGAUUAGACCCCUAGACUGGGAACCUCCAUGUGCUCCAGGAAAGACAG
rnacentral:lncRNA from 1 species